rnacentral:rRNA from 1 species
AUUGAACGCUGGCGGCAUGCUUUACACAUGCGAGUCGAACGGUAACAGGUUAAGCUGACGAGUGGCGAACGGGUGAGUAAUGCAUCGGUACGUGCCCGGUCGUGGGGGAUAACGCAGCGAAAGUUGCGCUAAUACCGCAUACGAUCUGAGGAUGAAAGCGGGGGACCGUAAGGCCUCGCGCGAUCGGAGCGGCCGAUGUCAGAUUAGGUAGUUGGUGGGGGAAAGGCUCACCAAGCCAACGAUCUGUAGCUGGUCUGAGAGGACGACCAGCCACACUGGGACUGAGACACGGCCCAGACUCCUACGGGAGGCAGCAGUGGGGAAUUUUGGACAAUGGGCGAAAGCCUGAUCCAGCAAUGCCGCGUGCAGGAAGAAGGCCUUCGGGUUGUAAACUGCUUUUGUACGGAGCGAAAAGGUCUCCUCUAAUACAGGGGGCUCAUGACGGUACCGUAAGAAUAAGCACCGGCUAACUACGUGCCAGCAGCCGCCGUAA